ensembl:snoRNA SNORA71 Small nucleolar RNA SNORA71
ACCUGCAUUCGAAAGUGAUUGUGGCCUUUCCUCUGUGGCCUGGUCAUUGAUACUGCAGGAAGAGAAUUCCUGAAAGCAUUUCCCGUGUUUGGGGGGGCUCGUUGCCAUCCUUUCCAGACCCUGAGCUCUUCAGACA